UACGAAGGGGGCUAGCGUUGUUCGGAAUUACUGGGCGUAAAGGGCGCGUAGGCGGUACUUCAAGUCAGGCGUGAAAUCCCCGGGCUCAACCCGGGAACUGCGUCCGAUACUGGAAGGCUUGAAUCCGGGAGAGGGAUGCGGAAUUCCAGGUGUAGCGGUGAAAUGCGUAGAUAUCUGGAGGAACACCGGUGGCGAAGGCGGCAUCCUGGACCGGCAUUGACGCUGAGGCGCGAAAGCCAGGGGAGCAAACGGG
rnacentral:rRNA from 1 species